ensembl:lncRNA
AAUACACAGGACAAAACAAUAAAUACACAGGACAAUAAAUACACAGAACAAUAAAUACACGGGACAAAACCAUAAAUACACAGGACAAUAAAUACACAGGACAAAACAAUACACAGGACAAUAAAUAUACAGGACAAUAAAUACACAGGACAAAACAAUAAAUACACAGGACAAUACAAUAAAUACACAGGACAAUAAAUACACAGGACAAUAAAUAUACAGAACAAUAAAUACACAGGACAAUAAAUACACAGAACAAUAAAUACACGGGACAAAACAAUAAAUACACAGGACAUGGGCUAUAAAUUGAGACGAGUCUAUAAUUAUGAAUUAGACAGGUUAGAUUAGAGUCUAAUUAACGAACCCGAACACAUACGCGGACAUUUUGAACUCGGAAAUUUUUCCAAGUACAGUUGAGUCGGCAGCAUGUGUAACAUGAAAAUAAAUAAAUAAAUAAAUAAAUAACACAUAAUAAAUAAAUAGCGACAUGAAACUAAGAUAACAAGAAAUGAAUGAAUGAAUGAAUGAAUGAAUGUCUCCCUGCCUGACCAGUGCAAGUAAUAGACUCUAUGCACGAUCGCUUCUAUAUUUUGUCUCAGCCAGCUCAGUUACUUCCGGUGCUGCGCCGGAAGCCAGUUUCGGUGUUGGUGAUAAUGGUGAGAAGAUGGCGCCGGAGAGUACGACUUAUUUACACUGACUGUUUACAAGAACUUCCCCAGAUUACCGUGAAUAACCUUAAUCGCACCGUGAGGCAGUCAGCUGUUACACCCGACAGUAAGAAGGAGAAGGCCUUCAAAUGAUAUAUUUCGAGUUUGAUGGAUCGACACAAACUGAGUUCAGAGCGCGAUCUCUGUGGAAGAUUCUGAAAUGCCUUCUCAAGAGCAGAACUACUGUGGGAAUCGUAAGAGACAACAUGCCGAGCCUCUGCGUCAGGUCGAAACGUCUCUUUACUUUGUGUAGAGUACAGCAAGUAAACUGUCGGAGAAGCAGGUCAGACACGCUUAUACAGGAUAUUGAUUGAAACUUCUUGUCGUGUUUCUCGGUUCAGGUUGUGCAGAAGAGGAAAAGGGAACUGGAAGACAGUGACGUUGUAAACGCUGCUGUGCUUCCAGAACGCCAUAGAAAACCAGCCACGUGUAUUGAUUGUCCUGUGUAUUUAUUGUCCAGUGUAUUUGUUUUGUCCUAUCUAUUUAUUGGGGAAGUGGUGGAUCAGUGGUUAAAGGCUCUGGGUGACUGAUCAGAAGGUCAGAAGUUCAAGCCUCAGCACUGCUAAGAUACCACUGUUGGGCCCUUGAGCAAGGCCCCUAACCCUCAACUGCUCAGAUGUAUAAAUGAGAUAAAUGUAAGUCGCUCUGGAUAAGGGCGUCGGCCAAAAUGCCAUAAAUGUAAAUAUUGUUUUGUCCUGUGUAUUUAUUGUCCUGUGUAUUUAUUGUUUUGUCCUGUGUAUUUAUUUUUUUGUCCUGUGUGGUUAUUGUAUUGCCCUGUGUAUUUAUUGUCCUGUGUUUAUUGUUUUGUCCUGUGUAUUUAUUGUUUUGUGUAUUUAUUGUUUUUUCCUGUGUGUGUAUUGUCCUGUGUAUUUAUUGUUUUGUGCUGUGUUUAUUGUUUUGUCAUUUUUAUUUAUUGUUUUGUCCUGUGUAUUUAUUGCCCUGUGUGUUUAUUGUUUUGUCCUGUGUGUUUGUUGUUUUGUCCUGUGUGUUUAUUGUUUUGUCCUGUGUGUUUAUUGUUUUGUCCUGUGUGUUUAUUGCCCUGUGUGUUUAUUGUUUUGUCCUGUGUGUUUGUUGUUUUGUCCUGUGUGUUUAUUGUUUUGUCCUGUGUGUUUAUUGUUUUGUCCUGUGUAUUUAUCAUCCUGUGUAUUUAUUGUAUUGUCCUGUGUGUUUGUUUAUUGUUUUGUCCUGUGUAUUUAUUGUUCUGUGUAUUUAUUGUCCUGUGUGUUUAUUGUUUUGUCCUGUGUGUUUAUUGUCUUGUGUGUUUAUUGUAUUGUCCUGUGUGUUUGUUUAUUGUAUUGUCCUGUGUAUUUAUUGUCCUGUAUUUUUAUUGUCCUGUGUAUUUAUUGUAUUGUCCUGUGUAUUUAUUGUAUUGUCCUGUGUGUUUGUUCAUUGUUUUGUCCUGUAUUUUUAUUGUCCUGUGUAUUUAUUGUUUUGUCCUGUGUAUUUAUUGUUUUGUCCUGUGUAUUUAUUGUUUUGUCCUGUGUAUUUAUCAUCCUGUGUAUUUAUUGUUUUGUCCUGUGUAUUUAUUGUUUUGUCCUGUGUAUUUAUUGUUCUGUGUAUUUAUUGUCCUGUGUAUUUAUUGUAUUGUCCUGUGUAUUUAUUGACUUCCCAUCGGAACUGCCCAGCCUACCGCGUUUGCAACAUCCUCAACUGAAGAUGUAGGAGCUGUAAACUCGAGUAUCUGGUGGACUGGGAUGGUACGGCCCAGAGGAGCAUUGCUGGAUCCCGUCCCAGGACAUUCUGGAACCAGACCUGCGCAGGGACUUCCAUGCCGUUCAAUCAUCUAGACCGAGAAUACAGAGGAGAGGGAGGCCUCGGAAGGAUUCGGCUCCCGGAGUGAGCCCUUUGCGGGGGGGGGGGGCGGCUCUGUCACAUCACGGCGAGUUCGCAACUACAGUUCCCAGAAGGCAGUGCCAACUACAAACAUGGCCGACGAGAACUACACUUCCCGACUAUGCACGCACUCACGUUCACCAGAAUACCGAGUGAGAACACCUGUCUCGCACCGUAGGUUAUACAAGGGCUCGUUAACUUCAGCGCCUCGCGAAGUAAACGCUCAGCUACCUUUCACCUGACGUUCACCAAGCCUUUGUUCAUGUUUUGGAUUUCUACGGUUUUUGGAGUUUUUGUUCUCGGAAUACGCUUCCUUGUAUAGCCCAGUCUGUAUUGUUCGCCCGAUCGCCGACCAACUGCUACCUUCUGCAUUUCGUCUUCCGCCUGAUCCCAGUAUUCUAAUCCUGUUAAUCCUGUUGCCUCCAACAAGCUAACGUAACAAUUGUCCUGUGUGUUUAUUGUUUUGUCCUUUUUAUUUAUUGUUUGUCCUGUGUGUUUAUUGUCCUGUGUGUUUAUUGUUUUGUCCUGUGUGUUUAUUGUUUUGUCCUGUGUAUUUAUUGUCCUGUGUAUUUAUUGUUUUGUCCUGUGUAUUUAUUGUUUUGUCCUGUGUAUUUAUUGUCCUGUGUAUUUAUUGUUUUGUCCUGUGUAUUUAUUGUCCUGUGUAUUUAUUGUUUUGUCCUGUGUGUUUAUUGUUUUGUCCUGUGUGUUUAUUGUUUUGUCCUGUGUAUUUAUUGUCCUGUGUAUUUAUUGUUUUGUCCUGUGUGUUUAUUGUCCUGUGUUUAUUGUUUUGUCCUGUGUGUUUAUUGUCCUGUGUUUAUUGUUUUGUCCUGUGUGUUUAUUGUCCUGUGUGUUUGUUGUUUUGUCCUGUGUGUUUAUUGUUUUGUCCUGUGUGUUUGUUGUUUUGUCCUGUGUGUUUAUUGUCCUGUGUGUUUGUUGUUUUGUCCUGUGUGUUUAUUGUAUUGUCCUGUGUAUUUAUUGUCCUGUGUGUUUGUUGUUUUGUCCUGUUUAUUUAUUGUCCUGUGUGUUUAUUGUAUUGUCCUGUAUGUUUAUUGUUCUAUGUAAUUAUUGUUUUGUUUAUUUAUUGUCCUGUGUGUUUAUUGUAUUUUCCUGUGUAUUUAUUGUUUUGUCUUGUGUAUUUGUUUUGUCCAGUGUAUUUAUUGUGUUAUGUAUUUACUGUUUUGUUUAGUUUAUUUGUCCUAUAUAUUUAUUGUUCUGUUUAUUUAUUGUCCUGUGUGUUUAUUUUCCUGUGUGUUUACUGUAUUGUCCUGUGUAUUUAUUGUUUUGUUUAUUUAUUGUUCUGUGUACUUAUGGUAUCGUCCUGUGUAUGUAUUGUUUUGUUUAUUUAUUGUCCUUUGUAUUUAUUGUUCUGUGUAUUUGUGUUUAUUGUAUUUUCUUGUGUAUUUAUUGUUUUGUCCUUUUGUAUUCUCCUGUGUAUUUAUUGUUUUGUUUUGUUUUAUUGUUCUGUGUACUUAUUUUAUUUUCCUGUGUAUUUAUUGUCCUGUGUAUUUAUUGUUUUGUCCUGUUUUUGUCCUGUGUAUUUAUUGUUUUGUCCUGUGUAUUUAUUGUCCUGUGUAUUUGUUUUGUCCUGUGUAUUUAUUGUCCUGUGUAUUUAUUGUCCUGUGUAUUUAUUGUAUUGUCCUGUGUAUUUGUUUUGUCCUGUGUAUUUAUUGUCCUGUGUAUUUAUUGUAUUGUCCUGUGUAUUUAUUGUCCUGUGUAUUUGUUUUGUUCUGUGUGUUUAUUGUUUUGU